rnacentral:sRNA from 1 species
CUUCACAUUACAUCCUCGCGACUAAUGACAACCCUUAUCUGCCUGAGAUAAAGCCUCUCAUUAGCCGCGCGAACCUCUGUAACGGAAGGUCCUCAUAUUACAUUAACCUGAUUUACUUAUGCUUCCUAGAAGAAAGGGGCCACAUUUGGCCCCUUUC